AACACCCGAAGUCGGUGGGGUAACCCGCAAGGGAGCCAGCCGCCGAAGGUGGGGUAGAUAAUUGGGGUGAAGUCGUAACAAGGUAGCCGUAUCGGAAGGUGCGGCUGGAUCACCUCCUUUCUAUGGAGA
rnacentral:rRNA from 1 species